rnacentral:lncRNA from 1 species
ACAGGCACCCCCACUGGGAACCUCAGGGUCCUCCCUGGGCCCAGAGCUGCCCUGGGCCGAGGCACCCAUUAGAGGAGCCCUCAGCUCAGUUUGCAUUUGAGGAAACUGAGGCUCUCCAAGGUGAACCCCGAUCCAGAGCUUCAGGCCGGGAAGGGUGGAGCUGGCGUCCAUCCCACGUCCAGCUGAGUGAGGCCCUGCCCGCCUGCCCGGCUCUUAGCCUGCCCCUUCUAGGACUGCACACAGGCCCCUGCGAGGCCAACAGCUCAGGGCCUCCUGAGCACCAGGCCUCUGUGCAGCUGCCCACAUCAGGCCCCCAUGGAUACUGAAACUGCCCGCCACCCUCAGACCCUGACUCCGGGCAGCCCAGAGCCCCAAGGCUCAACCAGGAUCCCCCAGCCCCUCUGGCCCCUGGCCUGGACCUGGCAGCUCGUGCCUAGGCCUUCUCUUGCCCAGGCUCCUGGCCCCCCACCGGCUGGCUUCCCGGCCUCGGGCAUCACCCACCCCAGCCCAGGCAGGGCCUCCAAAUCCCCACGAUGGCCUCAGCUUCUCCAUCCAGAAAGGGGCAGUGUCAGGGUUUCCGGCAGAUACUGGGUCCCUUGGAGACACAGCCCUUCCUGAUGCUUCUCCUGGCUAACCCCUGACCUUAGUGGGAAGAUUCGUCUUCCCGUCGACCUGUGUUUGCAGGGAAGGAGCGUCCAGGUUUGAGAGCAAGGGCUGGAUUGUCCCCUGGAGCCCUGUGGCCUCUGAAUGGGUCUGGGAUGGGCCCAGGCCAAGGGUGGGUCUGGGUGUCAUUCCCUUCUCCUCAGCUGCUGCCCUUCCUUGCUGCAGUGGGGACCAGGCCACUGCUCAAAGGAUGGCCAGUGGUGGCCGUCACCACAUUGGCGUCCCUCCCUUGCUCUGCCUGUCCCUGGCCUCUCUGCCUCAGCCCCAGCACCAUGGCAGGGGCCCAGGAGAGGAGGCGCUCCAGACCUCGAGGCUGCUCCUGGCCUGGGGUUGGAGGCUGUGGUCAGCAGGGCUGGCCAGCUGCCCCGUGGGGGCUUAGAAGAACACAGGCGUGCCUGCAGACACCGACGCAAACAACAGACAAGGAAACACGCACACGUACGCUCACGCUGUCACGCCACACGCGAACACGCCCACAGACACUGACGCGGACAGGAGCACUUGUUCCCAGACACGUCCACACCUGCUUCAGAGGCACAGUCGCCCUUGCCCAGAAGACGCUC